rnacentral:lncRNA from 1 species
CUUGUGGGUGAUAUAUCUCAACAGGCAAAAUCUUGUACUAAUUUUGGAAUAAGGUGGGUAAAAUAUCAACCAAUAAGUUCAGUAAAUCUACUUUGGCAUAGGCCAGCAAUGAACAUGCAUAUGCAUGUAAGUGAUAUCCAUGUUUUCACAAUGGAAAAAUAAUCUUCACAAGGUAAGUGCAUAUAUUGGAUGUUUGUCAUCUAAUUCAAAUAGGAGCUAUGUGUGAUUUAUGUUACAUAUAGGCUAAU